rnacentral:lncRNA from 1 species
CCUCAGGGUCAUUUCCUCCCCAAAUACCAAACAGGGAAGGACUGGAGGGCUGCUGAUGGGUUCGAGGCGCCAAGGGCUGCACUUCCUGCUGGUUCUGCUGUCAGGGUGAUGGGCUUUGUGGCAUCUGUUGUGGACUGGCUCUGAGAUUUGUGGAGGCCUACCCAAGAGUUUGCCUUUAGCCCAGUGGAAUAACUCAGCUCAUCGGGUGGCCUGGCCGGGUAGAACAAAGGACCUUACUCUUGCUGGUUGUCUGCUGAGAAGACCCUCGACUCUGAGUGACCCAUAG